AGAGUUUGAUCCUGGCUCAGAUUGAACGCUGGCGGCAUGCUUUACACAUGCAAGUCGAACGGCAGCACGGACUUCGGUCUGGUGGCGAGUGGCGAACGGGUGAGUAAUACAUCGGAACGUACCCAGUAAUGGGGGAUAACUAGUCGAAAGAUUAGCUAAUACCGCAUACGCCCUACGGGGGAAAGAGGGGGAUCGCAAGACCUCUUGUUAUUGGAGCGGCCGAUGGCUGAUUAGCUAGUUGGUGGGGUAAAGGCCUACCAAGGCGACGAUCAGUAGCGGGUCUUAGAGGACGAUCCGCCACACUGGAACUGAGACACGGUCCAGACUCCUACGGGAGGCAGCAGUGGGGAAUCUUGGACAAUGGGCGAAAGCCUGAUCCAGCAAUGCCGCGUGCGUGAAGAAGGCCUUC
rnacentral:rRNA from 1 species